ensembl:lncRNA LINC00547 long intergenic non-protein coding RNA 547
GUUAGUUUGGAAAGAAUAGAAGAAGGAAUAGAUGUUCACCAAGACCAGUAGUUCUCAAACAGGUCGAGUUGUUUCCUUGAUGAAUCCCAAUGUGUCUACCGAGAUGUUCCAGUUGAAGAUCUAGUAAUUAAAGGUCUCUUUACACCAGAGCUAAGAUCACGAAUAAAGGAGCAGCUUUGGGUUUGCAGAGAUUACACAGGAAUGUAUGUUUCUGGCAGGUCAUUUGCCAUCUUUGCAAGGAGUGUACAUGGAUGUCAUCAUUACAAAGGAUGUGAGAGGAAAAAUUUAUUCAAGAAGCACUUAUUAAAAUUUCUUCCACUGUGCUGGAUCCUUAAUUUACAUACUUGUUUGUAGAUUCUGUUUCUCUUUAAGUAUUUUUUAAAAAUUCAUAUGGAAUAUUUCUUAUAAUCCCAAGUUUAUUGUUGUUAUGGUCAACCACUAAUUACUUGAAGAAUGUAAUAUAAAAUUGUUUAUCGUUUAUGAAGUCUCUUAGUUACCUUUUGAUACAGUUUGGCUGUGUACUCACCCAAGUCUCAUCUUGAAUUGUAGCUCUCAUAAUCCCCACGUGUUGUGGGAGGGACCUGAUGGGAGGUAAUUGAAUUAUAUGGGUGGGUUUUCCUAUGUUCUUGUGAUAGUGAAUAAGUCUCAUGAGAUCUGAUGGUUUUAUAAAGGGCAGUUCCCCUGCACAUACUCUCUUGCUUGCUGCCAUGUAAAUGUGCCUUUGUUCCUCCUUCACCUUCUGGGAUGAUUAUGGGGCCUCCUUAGCCAUGGGGACUGUGCCAUUAAACCUCUUUUUCUUUAUAAAUUACCCAGCCUUGGGUAUUUCUUCAUAGCAGUAUAAAAAUGGAUUAAUACAGUAAAUUGGUACUGGUAGAGUGGGGUACUGCUAUUAAGAUAUCUGAAAAUGUGGAAGCAACAUUGGAACUGGGUAACAGGCAGAGGUUAGAACAAUUUGGAGGGCUCAGAAGAAGAUAGGAAGAUGUGGGAAAGUUUGGAACUUCCUAGAGACUUGUUGAAUUGCUUUCACUAUAAUGCUGAUAGUAAUAUGGACAAUAAAAUCCAGGCUAAGGUGGUCUCAGAUUGAGAUGAGGAAUUUGUUGGAAACUGGAGUAAAGGUCACUCUUGCUAUGCAAAGAGAUGUACUGCAUUUUACCCCCACCCUAGAGAUCUGUGGAACUUUGAACUUGAGAGAGAUGAUUUAGGGUAUCUGGUAGAAGAAAUUUCUAAGCAGCAAAGUGUUCAAGAAGUAACAGUGCAUAAAAGUUUGGAAAAUAUGCAGCUUGACAAUGUGGUAGAACAAAAAGCCCAUUUUCUGGGGAGAAAUUCAAGCCACUGCAGAAAUUUGCACAAGUAAUGAGGAACCAAAGGGUAAUCCCCAAGACAAUGGGUAAAAUGUCUCCAGGGCAUAUGAGAGACCUUCACAGCAGCCCCUCCCAUCACAGGCUCAGGGACCUGGGAGGAAAAAAUGGUUUUGUGGGCCUGGUUCAGGGCUUCCUUCCUGUGUGCAGCCUAGGGACUUGGUGCCCUGUGUCCCAAAUGCUCCAGUCAUGGCUAAAAGUGACCAAAGUACAGCUCAGGUCAUUGCUUCAGAAAGUGCGAGUCCCAAAGUCUUGACAGCUUCCACAUGGUGUUGGUUCUGUGAGCGCACAGAAGUUGAGAACUGAGUUUUGGGAACCUCUGCCUAGUUUUCAGAGGAUGUAUGGAAAUACCUGGAUGUCGAGGCAGAGGUGUACUGCAGGGGUGGAGCCCUCAUGGAGAACCUCUGCUAGGGCAGUGCAGAAGGGAAAUGUAGGGUGGGAGCCUCCACACAGUGUCCCUAUUGGGGUACUUCCUUGUGGAGCUGUGAGAAGAAGGCCACCAUCCUCCAGAUCCCGGAAUGGUAGAUCCAUUGAAAGCUUGAACUGUGCACCUAAAGAAGCCACAGACACUCAAUGCCAGCCCAGGAAAGCGGCCAGGAGGGAGGCUGUACCCUGCAAAGCCACAGGGGCAGAGCUGUCCGAGGCUGUGGGAGCCCACCUCCUGUAUCAGCAUGACCUGGAUGUGAAACAUGGAGUCAAAGGAGAUCAUUUUGGAGCUUUAAGAUUUGACUGCCCCACUGGAUUUUGGACUUGCAUGGGUCCUGCAGCCCCUUUGUUUUAAUUAAUUUCUCCUGUUUAGAAUGGCUGUAUUUACCCAAUGCCUGUACCCCUAUUUUAUCUAGGAAGUAACUAACUUGCUCUUGAUUUAACAGGCUCAUCGGCAGAAGGAACUUGCCUUGUCUCAGAUGAGACUUUGGAUAUAGACUUUUGAGUAAAUGCUGAAAUGAGAUAACACUUUGGGGGACUGUUGGGAAGGCAUGGUUGGUUUUGAAAUGUGAGGACAUGAGAUGUGGGAGGGGCUGGGGGUGGAAUGAUAUGGUUUGACUGUGUCCCAACCCAAAUCUCAUCUUGAAUUGUAGCUCCCACAGUUCCCAUGUAUCCUAGGAGGGACCCGAUGGGAGGUAAUUGAAUCAUAGGAGUGGGUUUUCCCCUCCUGUCCUCAUGAUACUGAAUAAGUCUCAUGAGACCUGAUGGUUUUAUAAAGAGUAGUUCCUCUAAACAUGUUCUCUUCCCUGCCACCAUGUAAGAUGUGCCUUUGCUACUCCUUCACCUUCUGUGAUAAUUUUGAGGCCUCCCUAGCCAUGGGGACUGUGAGUCCAUUAAACCUCUUUUUCUCUAUAAAUUACCCAGUCUUGGGUAUUUCUUCAUAGGAGUAAAAAAAUAGACUAAUACACUCUUUAUCUUUCAGACUUUUCUAUAUUUUUAUAACUUUUUGUGAGACUUCAUAAAAGUUUAGAAAAUGCAUUAGUGAAUUGUGUUAUUGCUAAAAGUGAAAGUCAUCUAGCAUUCUUAUUCACAUAUGGCCUAGUUUUUCAAGAGUUUUUCAGAACUUAGGUUGGCUAGAAAAUCACCAGUCUUUUCUCAUUAUAUUGUAGAAAUUUCAUCAGUGAGUAUUAUCAGAUGUUGUAUAAGACCUUACAAAGACCCCACAGAAGUAAAGGCAAUAAUCCUAUAUGUAAAAAAACAAAUUGAUAACAAAAACAAAAAACAAAACAAGACAAACUAAAAAGUACUGAAACUUCAAGAAAUGUUUUUCCAAUAAUUGAAAAUAAAUAGCUGUUUGGAUGAAUAUAAAAAUAAAUCUCAAUAAAUUAAAUUCAGCUGCCAUUUUUGAAUAAUUAAUUGGUAUAUGUUGGAUUAUGUGUGCAUAUUGUGUAACAAUGAUACUGGCUGUAAGAUAGCUCAUAUUGGGUUCUUUUUCUGCUACCUAUAAUAGAUUUGUGAGUGUCUUACAAC